ACAUGAAUCACCUAGGAUCUUGUUAAAAUGCACAUUCUUAUUCAGUAGGUCUAGGGUGUCCCUGAGACUGUGCAUUUCUCACCAGUGCUUAGAGGAAGCGAAG
rnacentral:pre_miRNA from 1 species